UACGAAGGGGGCUAGCGUUGCUCGGAAUGACUGGGCGUAAAGGGCGCGUAGGCGGUUUGCACAGUCAGAUGUGAAAUUCCUGGGCUCAACCUGGGGGCUGCAUUUGAUACGUGUAGACUUGAGUGGGGAAGAGGGUCGUGGAAUUCCCAGUGUAGAGGUGAAAUUCGUAGAUAUUGGGAAGAACACCGGUGGCGAAGGCGGCGACCUGGUCCUUGACUGACGCUGAGGCGCGAAAGCGUGGGUAGCAAACAGG
rnacentral:rRNA from 1 species